AACGCCGCGUGCGGGAUGACGGCCUUCGGGUUGUAAACCGCUUUCACCCAUGACGAAGCGCGAGUGACGGUAGUGGGGGAAGAAGCACCGGCCAACUACGUGCCAGCAGCCGCGGUGAUACGUAGGGUGCGAGCGUUGUCCGGAAUUAUUGGGCGUAAAGAGCUUGUAGGCGGUUGAUCGCGUCGAUAGUGAAAUCCCGGGGCUCAACCUCGGGCUUGCUGUCGAUACGGGUUGACUUGAGGAAGGUAGGGGAGAAUGGAACUCCCGGUGGAGCGGUGGAAUGCGCAGAUAUCGGGAAGAACACCGGUGGCGAAGGCGGUUCUCUGGACCUUUCCUGACGCUGAGAAGCGAAAGCGUGGGGAGCAAACAGGCUUAGAUACCCUGGUAGUCCACGCUGUAAACGGUGGGUACUAGGUGUGGGUCGCAUUCCACGUGAUCCGUGCCGUAGCCAACGCAUUAAGUACCCCGCCUGGGGAGUACGGCCGCAAGGCUAAAACUCAAAGGAAUUGACGGGGCCCCGCACAAGCGGCGGAGCAUGCGGAUUAAUUCGAUGCAACGCGAAGAACCUUACCUGGGUUUGACAUGUACUGGAAGCGCUCAGAGAUG
rnacentral:rRNA from 1 species